AACGAACGCUGGCGGCAGGCCUAACACAUGCAAGUCUAGCGAGGACUUCGGUCCUAGCGGCGGACGGGUGAGUAACGCGUGGGAACGUGCCCUUUGCUUCGGAAUAGCCCUGGGAAACUGGGAGUAAUACCGGAUGAUCCCUUUGGGGGAAAGAUUUAUCGGCGAAGGAUCGGCCCGCGUUGGAUUAGGUAGUUGGUUGGGUAAUGGCCUACCAAGCCGACGAUCCAUAGCUGGGUUGAGAGGAUGAUCAGCCACACUGGGAAUGAGCCACGGCCAAGACUACUACGGGAGGCAGCAGUGGGGAAUCUUAGAAAAUGGGGGAAACGCUGAUCGAGCCAUGCAGGGUGAGCGAUGAAGGCCUUAGGGUUGUAAAGCUCUUUCAGAUGGGAAGAUAAUGACGGUACCAGAAGAAGAAGCCCCGGCUAACUACGUG
rnacentral:rRNA from 1 species